AAUCCAUGGAGUGAGUCAUGCAGUUCAGUCACAGUACCUGGCAGCCAAUGCAUUACUCACAAAGAGAUACAGAAAUGGAGUGUGCACACACUCAUCACCAAUAAAAUGUUUAACAGAGCCAAGUGGAAAUUGCUGCUAGUGGAUAUGCUACAGCUGCUUGUGACAUUCUGAGAAGGUGGAUAUUUGCAAAUAAUACAGUUCACUUGACCCUCGCUGCCUGGCAAUGAAAGAAAAACAAUCUGAAGUACUUUCUUGGGGUUUUGGGCUGCCAUACGCUUCAGCAAGGAGCUGCACCCAAAGGAGGAGCAAUGCACCAGACCAAGCAUGCCUGGCUGUCCACAGUGGGUUGGCAGUAAACAGCAUAUUAUACUUACCACAGCUUACCUAUUAUGCAGAUUUCAAGGCAGGAAACUGCCUGCAAAACAGGUAUACAGUGAGCAUAAACUUUUUUGUUAUUGUGGUAGCUGAUGGUGUUGUUGUUACAGCAGG
rnacentral:lncRNA from 1 species